UGGCCCAUUUACAACAUUUUUCUCAAGCAGUUAUGGUCAAAAACGAAUUACAUCUUUGUGUGCUAAACUAACCUUUGGAAGUAAAUUAGCAGCUUGCUUGUUUAGCCAUUGCUGUCAGUCACCUUCAGACAAAU
rnacentral:snoRNA from 1 species